rnacentral:rRNA from 1 species
UGAACGCUGGCGGCAUGCUUUACACAUGCAAGUCGAACGGCAGCGCGGGGGCAACCCUGGCGGCGAGUGGCGAACGGGUGAGUAAUAUAUCGGAGCGUACCCAAGAGUGGGGGAUAACGUAGCGAAAGUUACGCUAAUACCGCAUACGAUCCAAGGAUGAAAGCAGGGGACCGCAAGGCCUUGUGCUCCUGGAGCGGCCGAUAUCUGAUUAGCUAGUUGGUAGGGUAAAGGCCUACCAAGGCAUCGAUCAGUAGCUGGUCUGAGAGGACGACCAGCCACACUGGGACUGAGACACGGCCCAGACUCCUACGGGAGGCAGCAGUGGGGAAUUUUGGACAAUGGGGGCAACCCUGAUCCAGCAAUGCCGCGUGAGUGAAGAAGGCCUUCGGGUUGUAAAGCUCUUUUGUCAGGGAAGAAACGGUGGUUUCUAAUACAGAUCACUAAUGACGGUACCUGAAGAAUAAGCACCGGCUAACUACGUGCCAGCAGCCGCGGUAAUACGUAGGGUGCAAGCGUUAAUCGGAAUUACUGGGCGUAAAGCGUGCGCAGGCGGUUUUGUAAGUCUGUCGUGAAAUCCCCGGGCUCAACCUGGGAAUUGCGAUGGAGACUGCAAGGCUAGAAUCUGGCAGAGGGGGGUAGAAUUCCACGUGUAGCAGUGAAAUGCGUAGAGAUGUGGAGGAACACCGAUGGCGAAGGCAGCCCCCUGGGUCAUGAUUGACGCUCAUGCACGAAAGCGUGGGGAGC